rnacentral:rRNA from 1 species
UACGGAGGGUGCAAGCAUUAAUCGGAAUUAUUGGGCGUAAAGGGCGCGUAGGCGGGUAAGUAAGUUAGAUGUGAAAUUCCGAAGCUCAACUUCGGAGCUGCAUUUAAAACUGCUAAUCUAUGAGGUAUGGCGGAGAAAAUGGAAUUCCACAAGUAGCGGUGAAAUGCGUAGAUAUGUGGAAGAACACCUGUGGCGAAAGCGAUUUUCUAGCUAUAACCUGACGCUGAGGCGCGAGAGCAAGGGGAGCAAACAGG